rnacentral:rRNA from 1 species
UCCUCCUUUCUGAAGAACUGUAAUGUCAUUAAUUUGGUGUUGCAGGGAAACAGGACUGUUACUUUGAAAAAAUUAGAGUGUUUAAAGCAGGCUAACGCUUGAAUACAUUAGCAUGGAAUAAUGAAAUAGGACGUUCCAUCCUAUUUUGUUGGUUUCUAGGAUUGACGUAAUGAUUAAUAAGGAUUGUUGGGGGCAUUAGUAUCCAAUUGUCAGAGGUGAAAUUCCUGGAUUUAUUGAACACUGCCUACGGCUAAAGCCUUUGCCCAGGAUGUUUUCAUUAAUCUUUAACGAAAGUUAGGGGAUCUUUCACUAUCACAUACCAUUCGUGACCUUAACCAUUCUCCAUGCCGGACUAAGGAUCGGAUGAUGUUA